GCUUUAGGUCGCUGUGUGGACUACACUGACAGGACCAUGCACAACUUAGGCUUCAAGUGGAGGAAUUCUGACUGCCAAAUCUGUCAGUGCCUCCGCACUGUCGUGGCCUGCCGAAACAGUUAUUCCACGCCGGAGAGGUAUCCAGAUGACUGCGUCGCGGUGUUUGAGAGGGAAAAUUGUCGGUACAGGUUACAGAAGAAGACCAACCCCAUGGUGGAAUGUCAGACAUGGAGAGGUGCAUGAUUCACAGCUUGAACGACACGGCCCAGUGGCAUUGCGAUGGGAGAAGGGGGCUGUUCCAUCACACACCAAUGCAUUGGCACCUGCCAACCUUGGCACCGUCACCCAAAACAGACAAAACACAAUAAAGUGAAGCGACAGUGGUCGUGUCCAAACCA